rnacentral:rRNA from 1 species
AGCGAACGUUUGCGGCGGGCUUAACACAUGCAAGUCGAACGAGAAUCCCUUCGGGGAGGAAAGUGGCGCACGGGUGCGUAACACGUGGAUAACCAACCCAUUGGUUUGGGACAACACCGGGAAACUGGUGCUAAUACCAGAUGUGUCGCAGCUGUCUUCAGGCGGUUGCGAGAAAGGCCCGCAAGGGUCGCCAACGGACGGGUCCGCGUCCCAUCAGCUAGUUGGUGAGGUAAUGGCUCACCAAGGCAAAGACGGGUAGCUGGUCUGAGAGGAUGAUCAGCCACACUGGAACUGAGACACGGUCCAGACUCCUACGGGAGGCAGCAGUGGGGAAUAUUGCGCAAUGGGCGAAAGCCUGACGCAGCCACGCCGCGUGAGCGAUGAAGGUCUUCGGAUCGUAAAGCUCUGUGGGGGGAGAAGAAGAAAGCCGGUGAAGAGCCGGCCCUGACGGUANCCCCUUAGCAAGCACCGGCUAACUCCGUGCCAGCAGCCGCGGUAAAGUG